UACGGAGGGUGCAAGCGUUAUCCGGAUUCACUGGGUUUAAAGGGAGCGCAGGCGGGCUGGUAAGUCAGUGGUGAAAGCCUUGAGCUUAACUCGAGAACUGCCAUUGAUACUAUCUGUCUUGAAUACCGUGGAGGUCAGCGGAAUAUGUCAUGUAGCGGUGAAAUGCUUAGAUAUGACAUAGAACACCAAUUGCGAAGGCAGCUGGCUACACGAAUAUUGACACUGAUGCACGAAAGCGUGGGAUCAAACAGGAA
rnacentral:rRNA from 1 species